GACGAACGCUGGCGGCGUGCUUAACACAUGCAAGUCGAACGGAAAGGCCUGCUUUCCCUUGUGGAUUGCGGGUACUCGAGUGGCGAACGGGUGAGUAACACGUGAGUGAUCUGCCCCCAACUUGGGUAUAAGCCUGGGAAACUGGGUCUAAUUCCCGAUAGGACUGCAGGGUGGUGCCUGUGGUGGAAAACGAUUUUCUAGUGGUUGGGGAUGAGCUCGCGGCCUAUCAGCUUGUUGGUGGGGUAAUGGCCUACCAAGGCGGCGACGGGUAGCCGGCCUGAGAGGGUGGACGGCCCCAUUGGGACUGGGAUACGGCCCAGACGCCUACGGGAGGCAGCAGUGGGGAAUAUUGCACCAUGGGCGGAAGCCUGAUGCAGCGACGCCGCGUGGGGGAUGACGGCCUUCGGGUUGUAAACUCCUUUCGACCGCGAGGAAGCCACCUGGUUGGAAGGGUGGUGACGGUAGUGGUAGAAGAAGCACCGGCUAACUACGUG
rnacentral:rRNA from 1 species